GACACUCUUUCACAGCUUUCACUUUUCUUUUCGUCACCACACAAACAGAGAGGGAGAAGUGUUUGAAUGGAUGAGGGAUAAAUAAAAUGCAAACAAUGCUGCACCACGAUGAGAAGAUAAAGAAACAGAGGACGGCUGUUCGACUUGCAUUUGCCUCAGGAAUCGACUAUUAACUAAUUUAGCUCAUCUGGACACGAAGUUGUCCGGAAGAUGGCGGAAACGGGGCGCACGGUAUGUGUUCGCGGACUUCCUGUUGAUAUGGAGCGCGAGCGUCUACAAGAUAAACUGCUGAUCCAUUUUCUGCGCGAGCGGAACGGAGGAGGAGAGAUCUCAUCCAUCAGCAUUAAAGCAGCAGAUCCGUGUGCUCUCAUCACCUUUGAAGACAGCAGAGUUGCUCUCAGUGCGUCCAGUCAUAGACCACAUAUUUUAGAGGUGGAUGGCAGGAUGUAUGAACUUUCUCUGAGUUUUCCAUCGCAGAAUUCACUGCACAUGAACAAGGUAAUCCUUGAUAUGUCUGUGACCAUAGACUGUAAACACUUGCCACGUGCUGAAGAGACUCUAAAAACUCUCACUGAAAAAUUUCCAGACCUUGAUGUUCAUUACAUUAAGCAUCAGAGGCACUGCACCUUAAAGGGACCGUACUCAGAGGUUAAUGAUGUUGUAUCGGACUUGAUAAAGCUCCUUGUAGACUUUGAACCUCCAGGUGAUCAAAGUUUGUUCUUUACCCAAGAAACUGAUAGAGUCCAUUUCCAUCAAAAAGGAAAAGACAACCCUCCAGACCAACCGCAUGGGUUUCACUUGGGUGGAGAUGUUUCUUUGCCUCAGGAAUCCAGGUAUCCAAGUCCAAAAGUGAACAGCGUAAAACCAUCACAGGCACAAACACACUCUGAUGAGAAGAUAAAAGCCUGGGUAGAUGCAGUAGAUGCGGAGGCUCGCUCUCUCAUCAUGGAAGCAGAUGUAUUUGCAUAUCUAUGCAGCAAAAGUGACGAGUACAGGAGUAUAUUGCAAAACCAUGGGGUACAUGUGGUUGACGUUACAUCUGCAGGAGUCACCACACUGUACUUGCAAUCCAGUGCAAAAAUUAAGAGUGGGUCAAAAGAAGAAAAACAUAUGAACCAUGCUUGCAAGGAGCUGAGUCAGCUUUACCAGCAGGUGGAGGGUAAUUUGAGAAGAGUUCAGAUUCCAAGAAAUGUCCUUAACCUACAUGGAGAACAAACUGUAGCAUUCAAGGACUUGGAGUCAUUGCUGCCCAGGGUGCUGCUCAGCUAUGAUCAGACCCACGUUUAUAUUGUAGGUGAGAGCAGUGAAGUCUCUCAGGCCAAACAGAUCCUCCUGUUUGGUUCACCUGAUGAGAACUUGAGAGCAAAGCAAGAAAUCUCACUUCCAUCAUCUCCCUCUUACUCCCCAAUUUCUGAAUCGGAGACAGUGCAGGUUGCCGGAGCAAGCAGUGAAUUGAGUACAAUAACACCUAAAAUGAGAGUCUCUCAUGCUGAGAGAAGAGUAAGGACUGGGGAGGAAUACAAACUGGCUGCUCGAUUUAAGAACUCUGACAUGGGCUUACUGGGGUUUGGCCCUGUAGACAGAGGGAGAGCGAGAGAGCGUCAAGAGUUAACCAAAGGCAGUGACACAUUAACACUGGCAUCAAAUUCUUCCCUUGGUACAGCAAGUACAGUCAAUAAUGACCAGGCCAGGGCUUCUCAGGUUAGUGCUUUCAAAAUCACUGGUGUAGAUAAUGUAGAUGAUGAUAUAUUGUUUCAGAAGAUGGAACCAGUGUCCUAUACAUGCACAUCGAGAAACAACGGUCAGGUCUCAAACAAAACAUUCAAAGCUCUACUUAACACAGCUGUGGAUGCCCUUACAGGGCUUGAAAAACUGGACAAGAAUACAGGCUCAACAUUAGAAUCUACAACCCCCUCUACUUCUUCCUUAAGAAGGACAAAUAGUUUUUCAGGCCAGCCAUUAGGAAAACAGGAGACACAAAAGACUGAAAUCAAUGAAAAGUCAGGUCUUGCCACAAAUUCUUUUAGGAGACCAAGAUCCGGUAGCCUAAAUAGUAGGAUAUCUGCAAAGGCAGUUCCAAGUAGCACCAUAUCAAGUACAGUCACUGUACCUACACUGAUGUGGAGUUAUAUAAAAAAGGCACAUCACUCUGAUCUAAAUUCUAUGAUCUCUGAUCUACAAGUUUCUGAAAGCCCCAUAGACAAGUGUAAGACCAUAGUUCUUCUAAAGGGUUCACCAUCAUCCAAGGUUAAACAAUGUCAGCGUGAACUUCAGAAGUUAGUUGAAGUGAUAGAUUUAGACUUUUGUGUUCAAAACCUUCAACUGGCAGACCUUGGUGUAACUGAAGACAAUGAGAUAUUCAAAGAAUGCUGCUCGAACAUAUGCUCACACUUCAACAAAGUUGUAAUGCAGCAUGUAAAGGAUGCUAUUUUCCUGAUGGGGCCCAAAUCCCCAUGUUCUCAAGCCAGUGAAAUGUUAAAAGAUCUGUUUCCUAAUGGAUUUUCUAAUUUUGAAUCUUCUGUUGGUACCUUGACCCAUCAGAGAAGUAUAGAUCAGAGUCAGGCAAAUGCAUCAGCUAACGAGACAAUUAAAAGCAAUAGUCAGAUUAGACCAAAUCAAACCAAAGCUAAUACUGAGAAUCCUGCAAAAGGCAGACUUAAAGGAUACAAAUCUGAGUCCAGGAAUGUAGCUUAUACGCAAUCACCGAAGCCAGUUACCAAGGAGGUGCUUAAGAAGACUUCAGAUUUGGAAAUAAGCAAGACUGGCCCAUUAUCUGGCAAAUCUUCUGAAGGAAGUGGCGUGCUAUUGAGAAUGAGGGAUGACUGUCAGAAGCCUUUAUCACUCACAACACAGAAAACCCAAAAAGCAACUACUCCGACUUUGAAACAGACCAACUUACCAAUCAGUAAACAGUUGGAAUCUUGUGUGUGUGGAGAGAGCGGUGCACAAACAAGCUGUGGUACUUUUCUGUGCUCCAACUGUACUCCAUUUCAUGGUCAUUGUAUAGCAUGCUCUAAAGUGAAUGCAGCCAGAAAAUCAUCCAAGGAAAUGCAAGUUCCUCCACUCAAAGAGAAGAAGAAUAUAGAAGAGCUCAAAGGAAAAGAAGUCGAUACAAGACAACAACAACAGGAAGGCAUCCAGGGCACCAUGAGGUGUUCAGAGUUGCCAGUGAGCCUGCCAGGAUACGAGCAAUACAGAAUAGCCAAGAUUACCUACUCCAUACCUGAUGGCAUACAGGGAGAGGAACAUCCUAACCCUGGGUUACCAUUCCAAGGAGGUGAAUUUGUGGCCUAUUUGCCACUCAGUUCACAGGGGCAGAGUUUACUGCUAUGCCUGGAGGAAGCAUUUAAGCAAGGGUUUACCUUUACUGUUUGCCCAAGUAAUGAUAUUGGCAGAGCAAAAAUAACCUGGAGCAGAAUCCCGCAUAAGACCAAUAUCACAGGAGGGAAGAGUGGGUGAGCUAAAGCCAGUCCCAACUGUCAUUGGGCUAAAGACAGGGUACACCCUGGACAGGUCGCCAGUCUAUAGGCCCUUUCACAUUUGAAAUCCGUUAUCAUAUGAGGAAUGGAUAUCCCGACUCCACAUAUCUCAAAGACUUGUCUGAGGCAUUGAGGACUUGUGGGAUUGAAGGGGUUUAAGUGAAAAUGCAGUGAAAUUUGGAUAUCUUGACUUCAACAGCAACCCCAGUCCUAAUUUGUUUUUGCAUUUAAGUUAAUAUAAAAUAAAUAUGUUUUAGAAUACAUAGUCACUGCUACAUAGUAGUGUAUGAAGAAAAAUACUGAAUUGUGUUGUACCUGUGACAUUUAAAUUCUUGAAGAAUACCAGUAUUUAAUUUCUUAUAGCUUUGUUUAUUGAUCAAAGUAAUUAUUAGAUAGUAUUUUAUACAUCACUGUAUAAACUGAAGGUAAAAUGGUUAUUUCAAGAGUGGUCAGUUCAUAUUGUGUAAGAAAGCAGCUUUUUUGACAUAAAACCUUGAAUCGCUAAGUUUUGAACGUCAACACCAUCAUCGCCUGAUUGUCCAUAUAUUUUGCUUUGUAAAAAAUGUAAAUCAUUUUGCGACAUUAAAUUUUUAUAUCUUAUAAAGUUUUAACACAACACUCACUCACUUUU